GGGCUUAGUCUUACUUAAAAACGAAAUGCUAACUCAAAAAUUGUAAAUGAAAAUCAAUGUGAAUGUACACAAUGUAUACGUGGUAGUACGAGUAACAUGCAAACAAUGUAAAGAAACAGGCCGUACAGUGACCUAUAAUAGUUGUUAAUUUCUGUGUCAUUUUAAUCUCUUGUGGAGAAUUGUCUCAUUGGCAAUCAUACCACAUCUUCUUUUUUUUUUAUUAUAAUUAAUCAUUCAAAUUGAAACACUCCACAUCAUUCUCGGUGACAACAAGUGAAAAGGAAAGAAUAAUCAGUUUCAGACAUAUUCAAUUCUACGAGAUCAAGAAGCUUUUUUUUUUAAUUUUUCAAUCUGAAGCUGGUACAUGUACACACGCUAUUGUUGAUACGGUGUAGUUGAUUAUUAAAAGUCAAACUUCGCCAGGAACCCACACAGACAAGCCUUAAAAUGCCAAAGGACAAACUUCAAUUCUAAAAGCGUAAAUUUAUGACAUGGAUGAAAGGUUUUCAAAUUGACACUCAUACCACAUCU
rnacentral:lncRNA from 1 species